AAUAUUUUUGAAUAUGAGAAUAAAAAAAUAUUUUACUAAUAUAUAUAUAUAUAGUUACAAUUUUAGUAAUGAAAUAAUAAUUUGAAAAAUAUAUAUAUAUUCAAUGAAAAAAUAUACUGUAAACUUAUUAUGUUUUAAAAAUUAAUAAACACAUAUAUUAUAAUAUAUACCAAUUUAGAAUUGAAAACAAAAUGUUUAUAUUAAAAUAAAUGAAACAAAAACCCGCGUGGUUGCGCGGAUCGAAACACUACUUAAGAUGAUACAUAAUAAAAUAGAGAUGCAAAAUACUACUCUCUCUGUAUCACUUUAAAUAGUUUUUAAAUUUUUUUAUUUUAUUUCAUACCAAGUGAAGUUCUCAUUAUUUAAAAAAAAUAAUUUAAUUUAAACUUUGUAACCAAUUACAAAAUAUUUUUUUUAUUGAUUGAACUGAUUUAUGUAAUGCUACUUUUGUAUAACCAAAAUAAACUACAUAAAAUUUUAUAUUUUUUUAAUCUUUGUGUAAAAACUUUAAACACUACUUAAAAUGAUAGAUAAUAUUACUAUUUAAAAAUAAAAAACUAAAAGAUUUUAAAAUCACCUAAAAUGAAAAAAAAAACGUUUGGCUGAAACAUCUUGUGUCAUGAAGGAAAUAGAUGAGUAUAUAUUCUUUUGGUAACCCACAAAUUGAAAAACAAAAGCACUGAACAAUGAUCAUGCGAGAACUAUGGCAAUUGGUAGGGCUUUGUUUAAAUAUGACCUAAAAUUUCAAGUCUAACAUGAAAAUAAUCUAUGUUUUUAAUGUUU